rnacentral:rRNA from 1 species
UACGUAGGGUGCGAGCGUUGUCCGGAAUUAUUGGGCGUAAAGGGCUCGUAGGCGGUUUGUCGCGUCGGGAGUGAAAACUCAGGGCUUAACCCUGAGCCUGCUUCCGAUACGGGCAGACUAGAGGUAUGCAGGGGAGAACGGAAUUCCUGGUGUAGCGGUGAAAUGCGCAGAUAUCAGGAGGAACACCGGUGGCGAAGGCGGUUCUCUGGGCAUUAACUGACGCUGAGGAGCGAAAGCAUGGGGAGCGAACAGG